ACAAAGGAGCAAGCCUCUGCCACCCUUGCUAGGAGAACAAGCUGUGAAUUACUAAUGGGCAGGCGUGCAGGCACAGUGAGUGUAUUAUGGCCAAGUCAGAAUAGUGAAUGCAACAGCCAUGGGGCCUGGACCCAUUCGCACCCAGCACAGUGAAUUCACUGCGGGGAAAUCCACCAAAUCUCCCUCCUGCCAACGUUUUCAAGAGUCUCACUCUGUCACCCAGGCUGGAGUGCAGUGGCGUGAUCUCGGCUCACUGCAACCUCCACCUCCCAGGUUCAAGCGAUUCUCCUGCUUCAGCCUCCUGAGUAGCUAGGAUUACAGGUGCACGCCACCACACCCAGACUCUCCCUCCAGAUGCUGGAUGACAUGAUGAGCCUGGCUGGGAGCCCACUCUCUGCUCCAUCGGCCCACCCUCCCUUUGUGUUGUCUGUGGGUGGAGUAAGCUGUUGCCAACUGUGGCCAAAUGAAAAGCCCGAUGCCCUCCCUUCUCUCUAAAAGCUAUUUAUUGUUUUCCGAGGAGCCAGCCAUCAAAGAGAUCUCCUGUGCCCCACGCACUCCUCCCAACUCCCAGUUUUUGACUGAAAAAAUGCUAACAUCCGACCAGAUACCAGAAAAACAUCCUGAAAGACAAUGCCUGGACUCUUAUUUCCUAGGGAGCAGGACCAGGGCUUAUUACCACAGCAGCCUAUCUUGUUUUUACUGCUGUGAUGUUGCUGACAACAUAGCUGAAAUCUCCAACAUCUCCUUGUUCCUACCAGCACUGAUUGGUUAUAUUUAAGCCUUCGUCCAGACCCACUUAUUCUCAGUUUCUUCUCAUUUUCUUCCCUGGCUCAGCGUGGUGCCAAGAAUUCUCUGGCUUUACACCCUGGAAGUGUGUUAUGAUGAGAUUCAAGAAACAAAAUGUGUGCAGAGAAGAUGCAAAUGGGUCAUGUUGAUCUCCCAGCAGGGGUUAUUCAGAUAAUCCAGAAUAUUCUUAUGUAAAUUUUUUAAUAUUAUCAACAAAAUGAAAGAAAAAAUUUAAAAAAUUAUUGCAAAGAAGCAUGAUAUCCAAGAACACAUCUAAAGACCCCAGUUUGAGUGAAACGGGUAUGGGGCACGGGGAGGAAGAAUGGAGGCAACUGACACAGGAAGAGACAUUGUCUUUCUUCUGAAGGCAAGGAGGAGUGCUAACCCUCACAAUGUGGUUUACAUUACUCAGCAUUUUCUUUCUGUCUCUCUCCCUCCUUCCUUCCCUCUCCCUGUCUCUCUCUCUCCCUUCUUUCAUUCUUUCUGAGACAGAGUCUCACUGUGUUGCUCAAGCUGGAGUGCAGUGGCAUGAUCUCAGCUCACUGCAGCCUCCACCUCCCAGGGUCAAGCAAUCCUCCUACCUCAGCCUCCCAGGUAGCUAGGACUAUAGGCACACGCCACCAUGCUCUGCUAAUUUUUGUAUCUUUUUUCGUAGAGAUGGGGUCUUGCCAUGUUGCCCAAGCUGGUCUCCAACUCCUGAGCUCAAGUGAUCCACCUGCCUCAGCCUCCCAAAGUGCUGGAAUUACAGGCGUGAGCCACCAUGCCCAGCCAUGCAUUUUCUUUGUAUACAUAUUUAGAAAGGCUUUAAAUCCUAGACUCAUAAUUGCCCUAAAUUUUACUCUAAAUUUUUUAAUUUUAUUAUUAUUAUACUUUAAGUUUUAGAGUACAUGUGCAUGACGUGCAGGUUUGUUACAUAUGUAUACAUGUGCCAUGCUGGUAUGCUGCACCCAUUAACUUGUCAUUUAGCAUUAGGUAUAUCUCCUAAUGCUAUCCCUCCCCCCUUCCCCCUACACCACAACAGUCCCCAGUGUGUGAUGUUCCCCUUCCUGUGUCCAUGCGUUCUCAUUGUUCAAUUCCUACCUAUGAGUGAGAACAUGCAGUGUUUGUUUUUUUGUCCUUGCGAUAGUUUGCUGAGAAUGAUGGUUUCCAGUUUCAUCCAUGUCCCUACAAAGGACAUGAACUCAUCCUUUUUUAUGGCUGCAUAGUAUUCCAUGGUGUAUAUGUGCCACAUUUUCUUAAUCCAGUCUAUCGCUGUUGGACAUUUAGGUUGGUUCCAAGUCUUUGCUAUUGUGAAUAGUGCCGCUAUAAACAUACGUGUGCAUGUGUCUUUAUAGCAGCAUGAUUUAUGAUUCUUUGGGUAUAUACAUCCCAGUAAUGGGAUGGCUGGGUCAAAUGGUAUUUCUAGUUCUAGAUCCCUGAGGAAUCGCCACACUGACUUCCACAAUGGUUAAACUAGUUUACAGUCCCACCAACAGUGUAAAAGUGUUCCUAUUUCUCCACAUCCUCUCCAGCACUCUAAAUUUCUUAAUGUGGCCAACAAGGCCCUCCAUGGUCUGCCUCAUCUCCCAUCAUCAUCUCUCCUCCUAACCUCCUUCCCACUCCCUCGCCUCUGACCGCCACAUCUUACCCACCUGCCCUCCAUGCUCCAAGUUUUAUACUCUUUCCCACUUGUAGGUACUUCCUUCAAACACUUCUGUCUUUCUGGAAUUUCCUUAUAUCCUUCUAUGCCCUUCCUUACCCAGGGAACUUUCAAAUAUGAGCUUGAGUUUCCUCCUCCUUGACACCAUACUUCUGUUAGCAAGGCACUUGCUAACAGACUUUAAUAUUUUAUUAAGAUUGCUUAUUUAAUUGUCUUCCCUAAGAUUAAAAGAUCUAUGGGAUAUAGAGAUUUUAUCUAUUUUGCUCACAAUCUUAUCUCCAUCAUCUGCCUAGCAGGGACCAUAAACAUAGUAGAUGCUUAUAACAAAACAGUUGGAAGAAAGGAACAGGGCAGAGGAGUCAAGAAACAGAGUGUUCGACAAAUGAUAAUUACUGUUGUAAGAAACAGUACCUUUGCUAUUUCCGAUCUCAAAGACAGGAUAUGUUUAUGGGAUCUGGGAUGGACUGAGUCUGGAGGUAAAACCUGAAUCAAUUUCAGCACCUGAAAAUACAGUCAUCAGCAUGUUUCUAUUAGCCUCGAAGGGAUCAACUACACUGUUCAAGGGGGCCACUGCUCCUGAAAGACCCAGCAGGGGACAGGGGCAUGAAAAAAUUUGUCCCUGUGUGGGUACAUACACUUACAAAUGUCUACUCCCUUUUUAAAAAAUGCGUUUGUUGGGCUGGGCGCAGUGGCUCAUGCUUGUAAUCCCAGCACUUAGGAAGGCCCAGGUGGUGGGUGGAUCACUUGAGGUCAAGAGUUCAAGACAAGCCUGGCCAACGUGCCAAACCCCGUCUCUACUAAAAAUACAAAAAAUUAGCCAGGCUUGGUGGCACACGCCUGUAACCUCAGCUACUUGAGAGGCUGAGGCAUGAGAGUCGACUGAACCCAGGAGGCAGAGGUUGCAGUGAGCUGAGAUCGUGCCACUGCACUCCAGGCUGGGCAAGAAAGAAGACUCUGUCUCCAAAAAUAAAUAAAUAAA